AAUGAACGCUGGCGGCAUGCCUUACACAUGCAAGUCGAACGGCAGCACGGGAGCAAUCCUGGUGGCGAGUGGCGAACGGGUGAGUAAUAUAUCGGAACGUGCCCAGUAGUGGGGGAUAGCCCGGCGAAAGCCGGAUUAAUACCGCAUGAGACCUGAGGGUGAAAGCGGGGGAUCGCAAGAACUCGCGCUAUUGGAGCGGCCGAUAUCAGAUUAGCUAGUUGGGGGGGUAAAGGCCUCCCAAGGCAACGAUCUGUAGUUGGUCUGAGAGGACGACCAGCCACACUGGGACUGAGACACGGCCCAGACUCCUACGGGAGGCAGCAGUGGGGAAUUUUGGACAAUGGGCGCAAGCCUGAUCCAGCAAUGCCGCGUGCAGGAAGAAGGCCUUCGGGUUGUAAACUGCUUUUGUCAGGGAAGAAAUCCCUUGGGAUAAUACCCCGGGGGGAUGACGGUACCUGAAGAAUAAGCACCGGCUAACUACGUGCCAGCCGCCGCGGUAAGAC
rnacentral:rRNA from 1 species